AAACACAUCAUCAGAUGGACUCUGCAGAAUGGGUCAGAAAGGAAUAUGUUUUUAAAAGGUAUCUUCUGGGAUGAUUUUUGCAAACCCCAGCUGCUUUGGAAAUGGAAAGACAAGAUUCCAGGAUAAAGUGUCCUUCUGCCUGAUGCAUACCUGGAAGAGUUUGUUUGCCCCAAGAGAGAAGAAUGGUGACAUGACAAACCUGUGCUGAAGUUGCCACAGAAGUUCCUGUGAGCUGUUCCACACUGAUAGGUUUAGGUUAGGGGUGUUUUAGUAAAAAGUUUGAUUUUAUAUAGAGUAAAGUGUUAGAGAGAAGUGACUGAACCCGAAAUGUCAGAGGAAAUGAAGGAGCUAGGAGGAAAGGGAGUAGACCAGCGCUAUCUCCUCCAGCUUACCACACCAAAAAUGACACAGGUUUGACUGACAGUUAAAACAACUGCCCUGCUGCAUUUAACAGCCAUUUUCAACCACUGUCACAAGCACAAUGCAAAAACUGCUGACAAACGGCCUGGGGGAAUAAUAAGGAAAGACAGAAACUGGAAGAAGCCUUGACACAUCAAGGUUUCCCUGUGACAUGGGGAAAAGAGCCCAUAUGGUCAUGCGAAACUAGCUAAGGCCAUGUCUAUGGAAUUUGUUAAGGGUCUGGCUCUUUGUAGCACUUAAAUGCAUGCUUAGCUUGAAUUCACA